CUCGAGGAGCUUCCUAGCAGGUAUUAAAAUUGAGACCUCCAUAUUAACGUAAACUUAACUGACGAAACAAUCAGCACGUGAAAUUGUAACUAUUACCUCAACCUAAUCGCUGAUCCUCUAGACCAAGCAGAACUAAAACAACAAAGACGUGGUGAACACCAAGAAGAAAAAAGGUGUUGUACCAGCUUAUUUACAGAGGUCGCAAUAUCUGGCCUAAUGCCGCUUGCGAGAUAUUGCAGGGAUCCUAUUAAUUCGUUAUCAAAACAGUUGUGUAGUGAAAUAGAAGUUUUCAAGGGGUACCUACUUAUAGGACACAUCGCGGAACUUGACGGUGGUCUUUUUAAAUUCGUGUAAGACGUUCAUUAUCAUGAAAUUCUAAUUUAUUUAUAAUUUGGUCCCUAUUUCUUUAAUUGGAACAGCAAAUAAGUUUUCUUAUGACCCUUCCUUGGAAGAUUUCCUAUUAAUAAAAGUAAUACUGGUGUCUUUGAAGCCAUGAUCAUAUG